rnacentral:rRNA from 1 species
AGAGUUUGAUCCUGGCUCAGAAUGAACGCUGGCGGCGUGUUUAAGACAUGCAAGUCGCACGGGGGAAUGUGAGUAGCAAUACAAGCAUUCUUCAGUGGCGCACGGGUGCGUAACACGUGAGUUACAUGCCCUGCAGAGGGGGAUAGCCCAGGGAAACUUGGAUUAAUACCCCAUGGUCUCGCAAGAGUAAAGGUGGCGCAAGCUGCCGCUGCAGGAUUGGCUCGCGGCCUAUCAGCUAGUUGGUGAGGUAACGGCUCACCAAGGCUACGACGGGUACCUGGUCUGAGAGGACGAUCAGGCACACUGGAACUGAGACACGGUCCAGACACCUACGGGUGGCAGCAGUCGAGAAUCAUUCACAAUGGGGGCAACCCUGAUGGUGCAACGCCGCGUGGAGGAUGAAGGUCUUCGGAUUGUAAACUCCUGUCAUCUAGGAGCAAGGCAUGGUGGUGAAUAGCCGACAUGAUUGAUAGUACUAGAAGAGGAAGGGACGGCUAACUUCGUGCCAGCAGCCGCGGUAAUACGAAGGUCCCGAGCGUUAUUCGGAAUCACUGGGCGUAAAGGGAGCGUAGGCGGCGUGGAAAGUCAGAUGUGAAAUCCCGGGGCUCAACCCCGGAACUGCAUCCGAUACUACCAUGCUAGAGUAUUGGAGGGGUAACUGGAAUUCUCGGUGUAGCAGUGAAAUGCGUGGAUAUCGAGAGGAACACCUGUGGCGAAAGCGAGUUACUGGACAAUUACUGACGCUGAGGCUCGAAGGCUAGGGGAGCAAAAGGGAUUAGAUACCCCUGUAGUCCUAGCAG